CCUCAGCCCAAAUCACAAAUAAACAUAAGAGGCUAAGAGGCUAGACUAUAACUUGAAGAGGAACUACAAGAACAACAAAAUGAUCGAAUGGAAAACACAUAAAACAAACUGAAAUUAAUACAUGGACAUGGAACGAAUCUAAAAGUGUAAGUUAAUUUUCAGCAAAACUAAGAUUUAUCCUCAAAUCUCUAACUUGGUUAAAUGUUUCAGAUUUGCACCUCACAUAGCGAUAGAGGCCAGGGAGUACCUGGAGAUCAUAAUAAACAAGAGAUGAUGAGGACUUCAGCAAUAACAAAAGAGUGAGCAUAUCAACAAGUCAAACAGCCAUAUUCAUCUUCCUUAAUCCAUUUUUAAACACUAGAUAAUAAGUAAUCCCUUAAAACGCUUACAUUUUUUCUGCAAUAAACCAAGAAGCAAUUUCAAACAAUUUUACAAUUAAAAAUUAUGCAGAACUUUGACUGUUUUUUCUCAGAGUAUCAGUGAAUCAUUUUUUAAUUAACGAAAGGUUUAUGGAUAACCUUCUUUGGUGGCCAUGUGUUGCAAAAAUUUAAUGGGAAUCAUUCCCUCAUAGGCAUCUUUUUUCAAUAGAAUUGGGAUAGCUGGAAGCCUGUAAUAGGCUCCAACAUUUGUGCUGGCCAAGAUUGGGUCAACUGCCCAUAUUUUAAAAGUUUCCCUAACAGAAAACUUUGAUUUUCUAUUCUUAAAACACCUCCCAAGUUUCCUAUUAUUCACUUCUCACCCUAACAGUUUCCUAACAACUACUAACUAGACAAACAAUAGAAAAUGGGAAACUAUGAGUAAAAUUAAAUCAAACAGUCAGCUACUUGACAAAUUCAUCUAUAAUCAAAUAAGAAUGAGAAUUGAUCAUUUAGCACCAAAAUCUCAAUACAAAAGGAAAAUUUAUAUCUAAAUCAUGCAAUUUAGGACUAUGAAUUAUAAUAGAAACAACAAUUAAAAGAACGAUAACUCAUGAUAACCCCACCCCAAAAGAGAUAUGAUUUAAUCAAAUGAACAAAAUUAAAAAAAAAAAAGAAUAACCUAAUGACUUAAACAAACCCAUAACAGAAACUAAUGAGCAGGCAAAUGGUUAAAAUGAAACUAGAAUCAUGAAGAAAAUAAAGCAAAGCAAAAGAGGGAACGAUGAGAUACUGGCUAACCGGGAAAUGGCUUGGUAAUUAAAUCCAAGUAAUGGCAAAGAAGGCGGAGAAAUAAUGAUUGACCAACGUGGAUGGCUCUCAAAUAUCGAACAAAAACUCGUGUUAAUCAAGGGCUCCAAACGAGAACUCUUGGUUAACACGGGUCUUGGUCUCAGCAGAACUAGGGUUUUCUUUCUUUUCAAUUUUCAGAUCCAAAAUUGGGGGAACUUCAAAGUGUUUUGGGGGGUUUUACUAAUGGAUUUGGGAAGAGGAGGGGACAGGGACCUCCUUGUAUCAGUUUUGGGGUGUUUGAAGGAAUUAUGAUUUAGGACUCUGAUCUUCAAUCUAAGAUUCGAAGGGCUUGAUGAUGAUUUGGGGAAAAUGGUUGGGGUUUUUCGGAAAGAGGAGGGAACGGGGGAUAUGUGGUGUUAAUUUUGGGAGGUUUGGACCACCGAAACUUCCAUGAGGCGAAUUCCAGUGGGUGGUUGACGGCGGAGCCGGUGGGGAAUCUUAGCGCAGCGGCUAGGGUUUCGUUCUCUGAAUUGAGAGACAAGAAUAAGGGGGAAUGGAAUUNNN
rnacentral:lncRNA from 1 species